UACGAAGGGAGCUAGCGUUGUUCGGAAUCACUGGGCGUAAAGCGCACGUAGGCGGAUGUGUCAGUCAGGGGUGAAAUCCCGGAGCUCAACUUCGGAACUGCCUUUGAUACAGCACGUCUUGAGUCCGGAAGAGGUGGGUGGAAUUCCUAGUGUAGAGGUGAAAUUCGUAGAUAUUAGGAAGAACACCGGUGGCGAAGGCGGCCCACUGGUCCGGUACUGACGCUGAGGUGCGAAAGCGUGCGGAGCAAACAGG
rnacentral:rRNA from 1 species